UACGUAGGGUGCGAGCGUUGUCCGGAAUUAUUGGGCGUAAAGCGUGCGUAGACGGUUACAUAAGUCGGGUGUGAAAGCCCCGGGCUCAACCUGGGAAUUGCAUUCGAGACUGCGUAGCUAGGGUGCGGAAGAGGGAAGCGGAAUUUCCGGUGUAGCGGUGAAAUGCGUAGAUAUCGGAAGGAACACCAGUGGCGAAAGCGGCUUCCUGGUCCAGCACCGACGUUCAGGCACGAAAGCGUGGGGAGCAAACAGG
rnacentral:rRNA from 1 species